rnacentral:rRNA from 1 species
CCAAGGAGUGCAACAUGCGUGCGAGUCUUGGGGUGGAAAACCUGUUGGCGCAAUGAAAGUGAAGGUAGGCAUUGGUCUACCGAGGCAAGAGCCACCUUGGGGUGGCACAUUGUCGACCGAUCCCAGGCUACGCUGUAGUGGGAUUUGAGUGAGAGCGUGCCUGUUGCGACCCGAAAGAUGGUGAACUAUGCCUGAAUAGGGCGAAGCCAGAGGAAACUCUGGUGGAAGCUCGUAGCGAUUCUGACGUGCAAAUCGAUCGUCAAAUUUGGGUAUAGGGGCGAAAGACUAAUCGAACCAUCUAG